CCGUACCCGCCCCGUACCGCUCCUCGUACCCGGCCAAAAUCCUCAAUCAUGGUAAUCCUGCUGCAUCGUCUUAAUUGUAACCAUCCGGUAGUUGCACCUGAUAAGCAACCGUGUUAAUCUUAGCGAUGAUGCAAUAAGGACUAUAGAAGUGGCACAAACUCUGUGAUCUAUAAAAUUUUGUCGAUGAAGUUCUAGUCGAAUCCAAACCCAACCCCCAAUGUCAAAUUCGUGUUGUUUCCUUUAGGCGUCGACAUACUUCUUCGUUCGGGCUGAGAGCUUGUCAAAUCUGAGAAUCUCCAGGAAUGUAAGGGACCAUCGACGGAGAUUUCCUUCCAUAAACUAAUUCGAACGGAGAUGCGGCCAAAUUAUGGUGGAAGGAUGUGUUGUGUUUUGGGACGAUAUGUAGUUGACAAGCUCUUGGCAUAUAGCUCCUUCCAGAAACGACUCAUUAUUUUGAUAAACAUAAUUAAUUAAUCCUAAUUACACAAUUGAUCAUAUAAGGUGAAAUCAUUUUAGAUUUUACUCUCCAUGGAUCGAUCACUAAUAAUUGCCAUUGGAACGAACAGCAGAAUUUCUAGAAUCUCGAUGAACAUAAAAUCUGUUACUUUUAGAUGAAAGACCCUAACGGAAUUUUAGAAAAAAUGAUAUAUUUAUGAUUUUGGAAAACUAAGAGGUGAUAUCUACCAAAACCCUUAUAAAAAAGAAUAAAUCCAUGUUUGAUUUUAUCG
rnacentral:lncRNA from 1 species